rnacentral:rRNA from 1 species
AUGAGCAGGGUCACGGGCACUAGUUUUGUGUUGCAGUUUGAUGAGUGGAAAAAGAAGGAGCCGCAUGGCACGCCGUUAACUCAGAUUUGGGUUCGUUUCUCUGGGGCGCCAUCUGCUCCCCUGGACAGCUUUUUGGUUACGUGGAGCCUGGGUUCUUUGAUUGGCAAGACUGAGCAGGUGGAUAUGCAGUCCACACGUGCUCACGAGGUGGCGCGUUUGCUUGUCAGUGUUGCUAAUAUUGAGUUCCCGCCGGACAAACGCAUGAAGGCGUUUUGUAUCAGUUGGAUGUUGAGUAUGAGGAUCCUAACUUUUCAGUGA